rnacentral:rRNA from 1 species
UACGUAGGGCGCAAGCGUUGUCCGGAAUUAUUGGGCGUAAAGAGCUCGUAGGCGGCCUGUUACGUCUGCUGUGAAAUCCCGGGGCUUAACCCCGGGCGUGCAGUGGAUACGGGCAGGCUGGAGGCAGGCAGGGGAGAACGGAAUUCCCGGUGUAGCGGUGAAAUGCGCAGAGUAUCGGGAGGAACACCGGUGGCGAAGGCGGUUCUCUGGGCCCGUACUGACGCUGAGGAGCGAAAGCGUGGGGAGCGAACAGG